rnacentral:lncRNA from 1 species
GUGGAACAGAUUCAAAGGUUUAUUGUGGAAGAUGCCUACACAUGACUCUGAUGAUCCUACAAUAGUCAUUCUAUUCCUUGGAGGACUUAGCUCGCAGACUAAAUUGAUGUUGGAUGCCUCAGCUGGAGGUAAUAUCAAUUGUUUAGUACUGUGAGUCUCUUGGGAAACGAUAGUUGGUUUUACCAAUUAUUAUUACUUGAUACGAUUCGAUACACUUGCCGAGGUCUUAACACCCUUCCCUAAAUUUGAAUCCAAUCUGUGCAAUCCAAAUUUUUAAUACAAAAUUCAUUUUUAAUGUCUCGUAAGAUUAAUGAAUAUACUGACCAUGCCACAUAACCCAAA